rnacentral:rRNA from 1 species
GCGCAACCCUUGUCCUUAGUUACCAGCACGUAAUGGUGGGCACUCUAAGGAGACUGCCGGUGGCAAACCGGAGGAAGGGGGGGAUGACGUCAAGUCAUCAUGGCCCUUACGGCCUGGGCUACACACGUGCUACAAUGGUCGGUACAGAGGGUUGCCAAGCCGCGAGGUGGAGCUAAUCCCACAAAACCGAUCGUAGUCCGGAUCGCAGUCUGCAACUCGACUGCGUGAAGUCGGAAUCGCUAGUAAUCGCG